UACGUAGGGGGCAAGCGUUAUCCGGAUUUACUGGGUGUAAAGGGAGCGUAGACGGCGAUGCAAGCCAGAUGUGAAAGCCCGGGGCUCAACCCCGGGACUGCAUUUGGGACUGUAUAGCUAGAGUGUCGGAGAGGCAGGCGGAAUUCCUAGUGUAGCGGUGAAAUGCGUAGAUAUUAGGAGGAACACCAGUGGCGAAGGCGGCCUGCUGGACGAUGACUGACGUUGAGGCUCGAAAGCGUGGGGAGCAAACAGG
rnacentral:rRNA from 1 species